UAGGGAAUCUUCCGCAAUGGACGCAAGUCUGACGGAGCAACGCCGCGUGAGUGAAGAAGGAUUUCGGUUCGUAAAACUCUGUUGUUAGAGAAGAACAGCGCAUAGAGUAACUGUUAUGCGUGUGACGGUAUCUAACCAGAAAGCCACGGCUAACUACGUGCCAGCAGCCGCGGUAAUACGUAGGUGGCAAGCGUUGUCCGGAUUUAUUGGGCGUAAAGCGAGCGCAGGCGGUCAAUUAAGUCUGAUGUGAAAGCCCCCGGCUCAACCGGGGAGGGUCAGUGGAAACUGGUUGACUUGAGUGCAGAAGAGGAGAGUGGAAUUCCAUGUGUAGCGGUGAAAUGCGUAGAUAUAUGGAGGAAAACCAGUGGCGAAGGCGACUCUUUGGUCUGUAACUGACGCUGAGGCUCGAAAGCGUGGGUAGCAAACAGG
rnacentral:rRNA from 1 species